GAACUCAGGGGCUGUCCAUCAACCCUGGCUGCUGUCUCUCAGGGGAAAGGCACCGUUGUGGCUGUGUCCACACGUGGGGAAAUCCCAGUCUGAAUGAACAGCAAACUGGGCGACCUCUGAGGACACUGCGGGCCUCGCUCACGCACACUCACACACAGGACUGGGACUCCGAUGCCCAUGGUCAGGGCCCCCGCUAUCCUCGCUCCCGAUCCCGGCUCCCCCUGGUGGUCAGUGGUGGGAGCGCACGCGCGCACUCAGCGCCCCGCGCAAGGACCCAGGGCAGGCGCUCAUUCCCCGCGCAGAGCCCGCCCUGCGGGAGUCCCUGCCCUCAUCCCGCACACGGGGGACGGGAAACGAAAAACAGAAAACCAGGCCUUGCGCUCGGGAAGCCCCCGCGGACGCCAGAGCCAGGGUCCGUCUCCGACUUUAUUCGUCUCUGGGACUUCUGGGCAAAACCCGCACCCCCUGCACCCCACCAGACUCAGCCAGGGGACAGCGGGGUCUCCGCGGUGCUGGACCACGCUCCCAGGGGGCGGGGGGCUGAGGGAGGCCGCCAGGACCAGGCUCCCAGGGGGCGGGAGGCUCCGAGGCCGCCAGGGCACGCUGGGCCCAUGUACCUCUGCCUGCUUCUGCCGCGUGUGUCUCCUGAUGACCUCAUAGCUAACUUUGCUGGGAACUGCAGCCUCAGGGCAGGAACCCAGCACUGAGAAGGCUCUGAGCCCCGCCCCGCCCCGCCCCCUCCUGCGGGGGCCCUGGAGCUCCUGGUGCCUGGCUCCCUGCAAAUCUGCAGGGGGUUGGGUGAGCAGGGGAGGGGGCAUGUCCGGGGGCCCAGACGUUCCCCAGCUUCCCAGGGAGCCCGGGAGGUGCAGCCGCUGUGUCAGGGCAGGCAGGGUUGAGUCAGCACACGCGGAGCCAGGCCUGUCAACCAUCCACUCCCUGCUCAUUCCUGGAGUUGGACUCUGUGUUCAUUGAUGCUGGGCCACAGUGCACUUAGUGCCAGGCCUGCUUCUCUUCCCAGUGGAGACCUGGAGUGGGCGGGGCUGGGUCAGGGGCUUAGGGCACCAGGGAGGGCUUCCUGGAGGAGGGGACUUGGAGGGACCUGGGCAGCCCAGCUUUGCCCUCUCCUUUCUGGACUCUCAGGGUAGAAUGCAGUGUUCUGAGCUACAGGGGAACGCAGCAAGGAGCCCCUCCCUGAGAGAGAGGUCCUUGGCUCCCUGCUCGGGUGCCUCAUGAGCGCCCAUUCCCGCAGUGCAGCCUUGGAAGGGGCGCUCAGGGUGGCCCUGAGGGAAGCAGGAAGUCCUGCGCUGGUCUCCGAGGUGUUGUGGGGGUGGUGGGUGGGCUCAUUUCCCUCUUUAAGGAAACCUGUGGCUGCGGGCUGAGCCCAGUCCCAAUGCUCAUCUUCCCAGGAAGAGAAAUUGAUGGGUGUAGGGACCGUGGAAGCAAAACAGCAGGGAAGCCGUGCUGUCGUGGUCAUUUGGGUGCUGGUGAUGAGGCCAGGUGCUGUGCUGAGCUGAGCGGUGACCCCGGCAGAACGGGCUCAUAGCCCCGCGCAGCCGCCACACGCCAGCAGGCUCAUCCGACAAGCCCCGGCCACAGACCCAACAGCCCAGGACCCGCAGUCGCUGCUUCUUUGGCCGCACCUGGCAGUCUGGCUGCCUGC
ensembl:lncRNA